rnacentral:lncRNA from 1 species
GGGGUUCUCAUUAUUAGAUUGUUCUUCAUCUUGUUCUUUGUUAACAAAGAUUUGGAGUUCACAAUUGUAGCAGUGGUUAGGAGAAUAUAUCUCACUACAGAAAAAACACAGCCCCUGCGCAUUCUUGAAUUUUGGAAGCGGUGAGCUGCAUGUGAUAAACCUGUCUAAUAUGUUUGUCUUGGGGCCUGAGGUCGAGUGGUAAACGAUUAGUUAUUGAUAAAAUUGCGGUGGG